AAAGUCAAAUAGUACGUGAAAUUGUUGAAAGGGAAACGAUUAAAGUCAGUCGUACCGGCGGUAAUCAGCCACUUGGGUGCGAUUAUGUCGGGUGUUGAGGAGCUUAACCGCCUUCGCGCUUGCGUAUUUGUGUCUUAAUGGUGUAUUUAUUCGCAUGGUAGGUUAACAUCAAUUUCGGUCAUCAUAAAAUGAUGGGAGGAAUGUAGCUUCGAUCCUGUAUUGAAGUGUUAUAGCCUCUAGUAGAUGCGAUGACUGGGAUUGAGGAUUGCAACGAACCCUUUGGGCUACUUGUCUGGCCUCUGGUGGUCGCUUUGGUGCUGAAAGCGUGCUUAUGGUUAUCAAAGUUUGGUUGCCAAAAGGUUAGAACGGGUUAAUUUCGUUAAGGAUGUUGACGUAAUGGCUUUAAACGA
rnacentral:misc_RNA from 1 species